UAGGGAAUAUUAGUAAUGGGCGAAAGCCUGAACUAGCAACGCCGCGUGUGCGAAGAAGGCCUUCGGGUUGUAAAGCACUUUUUGAGAGGAUGAGGAAGGACGGUACUCUCAGAAUAAGUCUCGGCUAACUACGUGCCAGCAGCCGCGGUAACACGUAGGAGGCGAACGUUAUCCGGAUUUACUGGGCGUAAAGCGCGUGUAGGUGGUUUGGUAAGUAGGGCGUGAAAGCUCCUGGCUAAACUGGGAGAGGCCGUUCUAAACUGCCGAACUAGAGGAUGGUAGAGGGAGGUGGAAUUCCGGGUGUAGCGGUGGAAUGCGCAGAUAUCCGGAGGAACCCCAGUGGCGAAAGCGGCCUCCUGGCCCAUUCCUGACACU
rnacentral:rRNA from 1 species